GACGAACGCUGGCGGCGUGCUUAACACAUGCAAGUCGAACGGAAAGGCCCUGCUUUUGUGGGGUGCUCGAGUGGCGAACGGGUGAGUAACACGUGAGUAACCUGCCCUUGACUUUGGGAUAACUUCAGGAAACUGGGGCUAAUACCGGAUAGGAGCUCCUGCUGCAUGGUGGGGGUUGGAAAGUUUCGGCGGUUGGGGAUGGACUCGCGGCUUAUCAGCUUGUUGGUGGGGUAGUGGCUUACCAAGGCUUUGACGGGUAGCCGGCCUGAGAGGGUGACCGGCCACAUUGGGACUGAGAUACGGCCCAGACUCCUACGGGAGGCAGCAGGGGGGAAUAUUGCACAAGGGGCGGAAGCCUGAUGCAGCAACGCCGCGUGCGGGAUGACGGCCUUCGGGUUGUAAACCGCUUUCGCCUGUGACGAAGCGUGAGUGACGGUAAUGGGUAAAGAAGCACCGGCUAACUACGUG
rnacentral:rRNA from 1 species